rnacentral:rRNA from 1 species
UCGCUAAUAAAACAAAGGAAGGGUUGCUUCCGUGCGCGUGCAGAAGCAGAGGCGGAGGGGGCGUGCGGCGGAGGAGCAGAAGGAGUCGCAGCGAUCGGCGUCCGGGGCGGAGGAGAAGGGGGAGAGAGACGAAGGAACAGGUGGGGGAGCGAGUUCCUCCGCGUAUGCUCGCCGCCGCCGCGCCUAGACGCCCUUUGUAUCCUUCCGUCCUCCACCCUGCCUCGCCUAACCGCCGCCCUUCAAGGCCCUCCUCGUGCUCCGUCUCGACUAAACAAGCUGCCGUGCAGCACCGUCCACCGUCCUGCUGAGCGGAGGAACGGCAGUAGCGUCGAGGGCAGACAGGAGCGGCGCAGAGGCAGCUAAGGGGGCUAAAACUCCUACCAGACCCGUCAGGACUCGUGCGACAACGACGAGGACGUCGUCUUGCUGUCGGUGUCGCAGCGCAGGCCCCUGUCGAGAAACAGGUGAAGGUGCCGGGGAGUCGUAGCGGAAAUUCAAGCGGCUCUACCUGAUGCAACGGUUUCCAAUUACUAAAUGACCUCUAUAGGUUCUGCUAAAGUUGUAAUGGGAGGUACCAACUCGUAGUGUAAGUCUUUCCGUCACAGUCCGUCGGUCCCUCGGUAUGUACCUUGGAUGACUCCCAAUUCGCACCAAAACUAUAUCACUUUCAAGACAAACUCAUCUAUAACCAGUGUCUUCCGUUGAGGCACUUCCUGCGUCGCAGGUUCCGAAUACGAGUCCACAAACGAGGAGUGGUACCGACCCGGUAUUCCUUUUGUCAUACACGAUCUUACAUGCGGGAAGGAAGAUUCAGCGUCGAGAACUUCUUUGACUUACUUCUACCACUCAUACAGAAGCAGAGCUCUUGUGACUAAAUAGAGAGAAAUCAAAUUUGUACAAUAAUGUAACUUGAAGGUACGGUUCUUUAGUUGAGUAUUUUAAUCGACUGUACUAGUCUAGUGUAACGAAAAACCAACGGAAUCUUUCGUAACUUUGAAGAUCCGCGAGAUGGAGGUUUUUGAAAUGAGCUUCGGAUGGUGAUGUUGUGCCAUCUAUUAUCCUCCGCGAGUUUUUACGGAAGCUUUCGAGACUUUUGCGGAGGUUUUCGGACAGCUCCGUAAGGAUUUUUUGCGAUUCCUGACAGCGCUUCCCUAUCUAUAUGCGGCCGUGAGGAUCUCUAACGGUGCCGGCGAGGUAAAACUCCGCAAAAAUAUUUCACGGAGGUUAAGGGCAGUCUGAGAGACUGCCCGGUAUUUUUAUCUCCGCACGAAGGGGACUUCGGCUAGAGUAGAAUAGAUUUCUAAUAAUAUACGGGUUGGUUCUAGUUUAAGAAAGCUGGAGAACGGGAUCCGUACAGUUUAUUUAACCUAGUGUCGCGUGAGAUGUUCAGAUGAAGAGUAGUACUCUGGAGACAGAUGAAGACAUGAGAUCUAGAAUCUUCUAUACUCUGCCAAGAGGAAAAUUUGUCCGUUUGAAAGUAGAGGCAUUCGUCAUACCCUAAUUUAUUUGGGAAGAUGGAACAAAAGACAGUCCUUCAUGAUAUAAAAAUAUGCGACCAUCGAUUGGCGGCAUGUGCCGUUCUAAAGUCGGCUGCUAGGUACAGGGAUGCGCGCACGACAGCCAAAAGAAGGUGCGCGACGACGACAAUGGACUUUUCCAGUCGGGUUUUGACUACUAGUCGCACGGUGGUUAAAGCUCCGGUAGAAAACAGCCCUUCUAGCUAGUCAAACCUCCGUUAAACCUACUCGCGGAGUUUAGGGGUAGAAGAGACAUGUGUGGAGUAGUUUUGACUUGGUUCAGUACCAAAUCUACCACACACACUUGUACCAAAUUUGACACUAUAAAGAACCACUCUCGUUUGAUUCGAAAAAGUAAAGAAAUAAUUGAUUUUAUAACUAGCUGUUUCGACUACGGAGACGAAUGAACACCAAUGGCUUUAAUUAUUACUAGAGACUUCUGCUCAUAACCUAAUUUCUUUUGUAUCUCAAUAUUAGUCGGUUUAAAUUUAAACUAACAAACAUCCGCAUAAGAUUUUGACCAUAUUGUUACAAUUUACACCCUAACAUUAAAGAAAAAUACGUACGUCCUAAUUAAAAAGAAAGUCUCGAAUAAUAGUAAGCUAGAAUCGAUGAGCGAGGAAGAUAAUCGAAAGACACCUACAUAUAAAACAAGUAAACACUUCUUCUGAGGCACUCUAAAGUAUGAACCCUAGUUGAGGCAACUGUAUAUCAUGAAGAUCCAAUGGUAGUCAAUCUGUAAAUCACUACCACAUUCAACAACAUAACGAACAUGUUGACAGCACCAAGUCUAAACCUGUAAAAGUUAACCAACUUUUCUAGUACAAUAACUUAAUUCACUGUUGUACAAUUGUUUAUGCAGUCGAACUAAUCAC